GCCGAAAUAGCUCAAUUGGGAGAGCAUUAGACUGAAGAUCUGAAGUUCCCUGGUUCGAUCCCGGGUUUCGGCG
rnacentral:tRNA from 1 species